CGCCGAGCGAUGAUUUUUGCUUGGUUUAGAUUUUCUCUUUUUUUUGCUCUUAUAAGCUACCAUAGGUUAAGUUCGGCACUGUCGCCAUGUUCUUCAGUCAACGCAGUGCACAGUCAGAAAUGUAGUCCAGUUUGACUCAUUUACCAGUUAAUCCGUCAGUUGCCAUUCAAGUAUUCCCGACGAAGUUUUGUCCCGCCACAGAAAUCGAAUAAAUAAGCUUCACAGCUUAAUAUCUCCAUUUACGGCUGGACUCCCAAACUUCAUUUUUCCCUUUCCUCAACUAUU